rnacentral:lncRNA from 1 species
UUUUGUUAAAUUAGUUACAAAGUUAAAAUUAAAGGGUACUAAACUGAAUAUUCGAUAAAUCUAUGUAGAGUAUCUGAAGUUUUUUGUAUAUAAUUUAACGAAAUAUUAACGAAUGAAAAAAAAUUAGUGACAAAAUUAAAACUAAAUGGUACUAAAAUAAAUAUUCGAUAAACCUAGUGUUACGCCCCGGAUUACUACGUUUCCUCGGGCACGCCAACAGACCCGUCGUAUAUGGAGAAAUUUUUUAUAUAUACGAAGCGAUAGCUGUACCUGUAAACAAGUCAUAGCUAUAACCAGAAGUAUAGAGCUGCUAAAACUAAAACAUAUAUAUAAAAACAUACU